UCAGAAUAUCGAUGAGUUUUUGGUAUCUAGUUUAAGGCAAGUCUUUCAAUGUUAAGGCUCAAUUAGGAUUACAUGAAUAUUAUGAUGUAAAAGUUUUAAAUUGUGGAACUCAGCAAGGCACGAAUUUUGAAGCAAAGGAUUGGAGAGCCAUGGGGAACCAAAAUUGGUUCAGAGAUGAAAGAGAUAAAAUACACAGGCACGAUAAAGAUGUCUCCCCAAUUUCUUUUGAGAUGCAAUAGGAAUUCUUACUACAUUAAUAAUAGGGCCUUGUGCUUACAAGGCAAGCACUCUACCGACUGAGCUAUCUCCCCAGCCGCUAGAACUCUUCUUGUAAGAAAAAGUAAUGUGAAAAAUUAUAG